AGUGAACGCUGGCGGUAGGCCUAACACAUGCAAGUCGAACGGCAGCACAGUAAGAGCUUGCUCUUACGGGUGGCGAGUGGCGGACGGGUGAGGAAUACAUCGGAAUCUACUUUUUCGUGGGGGAUAACGUAGGGAAACUUACGCUAAUACCGCAUACGACCUACGGGUGAAAGCAGGGGAUCUUCGGACCUUGCGCGAUUGAAUGAGCCGAUGUCGGAUUAGCUAGUUGGCGGGGUAAAGGCCCACCAAGGCGACGAUCCGUAGCUGGUCUGAGAGGAUGAUCGGCCACACUAGAACUGGAACACGGUCCAGACUCCUACGGGAGGCAGCAGUGGGGAAUAUUGGACAAUGGGCGCAAGCCUGAUCCAGCCAUACCGCGUGGGUGAAGAAGGCCUUCGGGUUGUAAAGCCCUUUUGUCGGGAAAGAAAAGCAGCAGGUUAAUACCCCGCUGUUCUGACGGUACCCAAAGAAUAAGCACCGGCUAACUUCGUG
rnacentral:rRNA from 1 species